rnacentral:rRNA from 1 species
GACGAACGCUGGCGGCGUGCUUAACACAUGCAAGUCGAACGGAAAGGCCCCCAUCUUGGUGGGGGUGCUCGAGUGGCGAACGGGUGAGUAACACGUGGGUGAUCUGCCCUGUACUUCGGGAUAAGCUUGGGAAACUGGGUCUAAUACCGGAUAGGACCAUGGUUUAGUGUCUCAUGGGGGAAAGAUUAUUGUUUUGGUGCAGGAUGAGCUCGCGGCCUCUCAGCUUGUUGGUGGGGUAAUGGCCUACCAAGGCGUCGCCGGGUCGCGGGUCUGAUGGGGGGCACGGCCACGUUGGGACUGGGAUACGGCCCAGCCUCGUACGGGAGGCGGCUGUUGGGGAUGGUGCCCAAUGGGCGCAUGCCAGAUGCAGCGGCGCCGCGUGGGGGAUGACGGCCUUCGGGUUUUAAACUCCUUUCGUUAGGGACGAAGCCGCACUUUUUUUGGGUGUGGUGACGGUUCCUUUGUUAAGAAGCACCGGCUAACUACGUG